GACGAACGCUGGCGGCGUGCUUAACACAUGCAAGUCGAACGAUGAACCCGGAGCUUGCUCCGGCGGAUUAGUGGCGAACGGGUGAGUAACACGUGAGUAACCUGCCCUUGACUCUGGGAUAACUGCUAGAAAUGGUAGCUAAUACCGGAUACGACCCUCGGUGGCAUCACCAGGGGGUGGAAAGAAUUUCGGUCAAGGAUGGACUCGCGGCCUAUCAGCUGGUUGGUGAGGUAACGGCUCACCAAGGCGACGACGGGUAGCCGGCCUGAGAGGGUGACCGGCCACACUGGGAAUGAGACACGGCCAAGACUCCUACGGGAGGCAGCAGUGGGGAAUAUUGCACAAUGGGCGCAAGCCUGAUGCAGCAACGCCGCGUGAGGGAUGACGGCCUUCGGGUUGUAAACCUCUUUCAGCACCCACGAAGCGCGAGUGACGGUAGGUGCAGAAGAAGGACCGGCCAACUACGUGCCAGCCGCCGCGGUAA
rnacentral:rRNA from 1 species